rnacentral:lncRNA from 1 species
CCCGCCCCCACGGUGAUCCUCCCAUGGCCCCGCCCUGCCCCGGCCACGCUAAUUGGUUUCUUUCUGCGGAGCUUCCUGAGCUCCGAUUGGCUGUACUCGUCGCCUUUCCGCUGUUCGAUUGGUCCGCGGGGCCCGCUUUCUCGAGGACCUGCUCCUCGACGGGGCGGGGCCAGCGGCGGCGCGCGGAGCAGGAUUGGUCAGCGACUCAGAGGGGGCGGGCCCACGCCGCGCGCAGUGCCUCGCCAGAAGCGCCAGGAGCAGCUACUGCCGCCUCAGUCGCCUCAGUCGCUUCAGGCUUGGUCGCCUCAGGCUCAGGCACCACCGGGAUCUUCAGUCCUCACCCCCAGCCCCGCCCCGGCCGCCCUCCCGUGGGCCGGCCCGCGGGCACGCCCUCUGCCGCGGGACAGGGCUGCCUACAGAGGGAAGCUCCUCACAUGGUUCCAUGGAGACGGGACACGGAACGCAGUCACUUGAAGUGCUGUGAAGGCCAGGAGCCCCACCCUUGCCCGUGCCCUCCGAGGGAGCAUCCCGCCCCCGCCAAGAGAGUGCACACAUCCCAGAGCGGCCAGCGCCCUUGCAGGGUCUCCGGCCAGAUGGACAGUGUCCUUGCCCACGGGGAAGCAGGCGGGCUGGCAGGACAGGCGUCCCCAGGCCGGGAGGAGGAGCCGCUCGCAGGUCACGGGGCCCCACGACCCAUCAGCCCUCCCGCGAGUCGCCAGAACCAGCUCUGA